AUGAACGCUGGCGGCGUGCCUAAUACAUGCAAGUCGAGCGAACGGACGAGAAGCUUGCUUCUCUGAUGUUAGCGGCGGACGGGUGAGUAACACGUGGAUAACCUACCUAUAAGACUGGGAUAACUUCGGGAAACCGGAGCUAAUACCGGAUAAUAUUUUGAACCGCAUGGUUCAAAAGUGAAAGACGGUCUUGCUGUCACUUAUAGAUGGAUCCGCGCUGCAUUAGCUAGUUGGUAAGGUAACGGCUUACCAAGGCAACGAUGCAUAGCCGACCUGAGAGGGUGAUCGGACACACUGGAACUGAGACACGGUCCAGACUCCUACGGGAGGCAGCAGUAGGGAAUAUUCCGCAAUGGGCGAAAGCCUGACGGAGCAACGCCGCGUGAGUGAUGAAGGUCUUCGGAUCGUAAAACUCUGUUAUUAGGGAAGAACAUAUGUGUAAGUAACUGUGCACAUCUUGACGGUACCUAAUCAGAAAGCCACGGCUAACUACGUG
rnacentral:rRNA from 1 species